CAACUUCACUGGUGGUCCAUUUUUUGUUCCAAAUUUAUACCGAAUUUGGAACGGUCCAAAUAUAUUAGACCAAUUGAAAAUGGACCAAAAUGCUUGCUCGCGCAGCGGUGUUCUAAAUCUGCUUGGUGUAUUUUACUUGUAAACAAUAACAAACAAAGAGAGCACUGAAAAUCGUGAAAAACAGAAUCGCGAUGUAGACAUUUUUUUUAUAAAACUGAAACAUUUUAUAAUAAUUUAAGUUUUCCGGAGGAAAAGGCCGCCGUUGAAAAAAUUCCGGUUAUUAAAAAUGUCGUCAGCCACGGUUCCGUAGCUUGACGAUACCAUCCAUACCUUUCGUCAUCGAGGAGGAGCUUAAUUUCAACGGAGCACUGACACUACUGAAACGAUUAGGACAUCCACACGGCCACACCAUGAACUUUUGGCAGUCGACCGACUUCUGGCCUACCUGGUGAACAUUCUGAGCGGACGUCUUCUAAACGGGAUUGCGCUGGUGGAACUGUAAACGAUUACGGCCAGGCUCGCGGCCAGGUGCAUUAGGUGUUUGAAUUGAAGAACGGCGAUGCCGGGUACGAAUCGAAGGACAACCCACACAAGGCGUACAUUUUCUUCCGAGCUGGUAGUUCGCCGGUACUGGUAGUAUAUUCCCUUGUAUGGGGACUGUUCCUGGUGGUGACACCGACAAUGUUCCAGUUCAAUUUGACCAUGGAUGCCUGCUGGCCAUCAUUGCCUACGGAACUAAUCCGGAUGUUCAACAGGACUAAUGUGUUACCGAUGUAUGUAAACUGGUCAGGUCCGAAAAUGGUGGUCAUUCCUGAAUUAAUCAAUGGAUAGCACCAGCCAGUACGGGUAAAAGCAGGUAGUUCGAGGGAUGUCGGGAUAGUUACGGAAUAAAUCUGUUUUUAGCAAGAA